GUCAAUUUUUUCAAAAUUAGGUGUUAAAUUGGACAUGAACUAAGUAAUUAGUUGGUGUUCCACUUCGUGGCCAACACCAAGUAUUGUAAUCGUCGGAUUUUCCGACCACCUCAGAUCGGGCUCAAACUUAGUAUGAGCACGUUUCAGACAACCCACAUUCCAAAAAUUGUGGUGGAAAAUUUUUGAUCCGGCCGGCCUGCCGGCCGGCCUGCCGGCCUGCCGGCCUUCCGGUGGUCCAAACUUUGCCUUAUAACUCGAGAACAGUAACAGAUAGAGACUUUCUGUUUGAAGUUUUCUAUAGAAAUGUGGGUGUAAAAUUUCAUUUUUUCGCAUUUUCAAAAUCCAAGAUGGCCGCCGUCCGCCAUUUUGAAAUACCGUCAACCACUUCCCUUAUAGCUAGAGGUCUGAAAUUUUAUUAUGUUGUAGAGCUCAGUGAGAUGUUUUCAUCAACAAUUCAUACUUGACAAUCGGUCAAGCGGUUUAGCAAAUAUGGCGGCCUAAAGCAAAAAGUGUUUUUUCGAUAUAACUCGAGAACGGCUUGACCGAUUUUGACCAUCUUGGUAUCAAAUGAAAGGUAUUGAGAAGCCCUACAACUCUUUAGAACAUUUCAAGUUUCAAGAACAUCCGCAAGAGGCACUAAAAUCAAAAACAAAAAUUGCCUAACUUUAAGGGGCAAUAUCUCCGAACAUCUGUUAUAGAUUUCCUUUAAAUUUUGAUAUGUUGUAGCCGGACUCAAUAUCUUUCUUCAGUCCGAAAAUGAAGAAAUUCUAUGUCGCCGUUUAGAAGAUAUGGCAAUUUAAAAAAAUCAUGAAUUUAAAAAGUUGUAAGAGCCAUAUCUCCUGAACUGCUUGACCGAUUUUGCUCAUCUUGGUAUCAAAUUAAAGGUUCUGCGAUUCUCUACAACUUUCUAGAACAAUAAAAUUCUCUAGAACCAUUCCUUCAGGACAAAAAAUGCGAAAUACUGUUUUGGUAAAACAAAAAGCCGCCAUUUUGUGUUCUGGAUAUGACCUUGAAAAGUAUCAAAAUUUAUCCCAUAUUCUAGCUUAUUUUAAGACCUUUCCAUAACUAGUCAAGAAAUGUCUGUAGGUGUUAUAGAACUUGAGAUAUGACCAUUUUUAUGCAUCAAAUUACUGAAUUUCACAAAAAAAAAUCAACUUUGCCUACUGAUAAUGCUUACAAAUCGUAUUAUAACGCAUAAAUUAACUUCUACACGUUGUGGGACACCAACUCUUAUAACUGGACGCGUUAUGAUUGACUUUUCUGUAGGUAUCCUUUGUCUGAAUUUUUAUAAAAAAAACUUUAUUGAAAUUUUGGAAUGGCAUUUUUUUUAAUUAAUUCUCUUUUAAAAUUCAUCAUUUUCUGACCUGAUGAAAACAUUCUGAAUUGACGAAAAUUUAUAUAAAUCAUUCAAAAUAUCUCUUUAAUAUUUUUUAAGGUCAAAAUGUUUUUAAAUCUGAUUUUUCAGUGUUUGAUAAAAGUUUAAAAAAAUAUUCUCUUAAUUUCAUUUACUAAUAACUUCACAAGCUUUUUUCUGAGCUUUUUUGUGAUAUUUAAGAGCUUAAAAUAAUGUUUUUCUUAUAUAAAAUCAUGAUUUUUGGAGAUUAUUUGUAGUCUUUAAUACUUUUAAGUUAAAAUUAAAUUAAAAUAAGUUAAUUAAAAAAAAAUAAUUGGAAAAUAUCGUCAUGAAAUAACUCAUUGCCAAAAUUAAAUUGAUGUUUCUUUAUGUAUUAAAAAUUCUGUUAAAACAAACUCUACAUACUUUGAACUAAAUUCCGGAGAUAUUUAUCUCCUUCAUCAGGCCCAAAUUCCUUGGAAAAUUCCUAUCCCUUCAUCAAAAAUCAUUUAAAAUUGACAAAUCCAACAAUUUGAGCGACAAUAUCUCAUUGGAAGAAGGAAUUCCUCUCUCUCAAUGGAUAUUAAAGCUAAUUUUAGGGGCAAAGAAAAUAUUUCUAUGCUGUAUGAAAAUCCAUUUUUAAACCUCAAGUUCAUUGCUCUUGCGGGAUGCUGUAUAAAUGAGGAAUUUCCCUCGCUGCAACUUAAAUAAAACACUAUACAAUACCGAAAAAAAAAUCAUUCUCCGUAUGGUUUAACGCCCAAUACACACAGUGGUGGCUUCUCUAUAAUGUAAAAGUAAACAGAUAUAAAUUCUCUUCUGGGAUUCUCGUGCAUGAACUUCUUUUCUUUUUUUUCUCCACCAUAUACAACACAUUUUAUCCUUCAUUCAUCUCUUCUAAAUGUACGGCAAAUUUGUUGACAACAAGUCACGAGAUUUCGUGACACGAGACUUCACGGUAUGGUUGUUUUUGGAUGGGGGUGAGAGGGGUGGAUCGGAACGAGUGGAGGAGAUGUGCGAAAUGUAGUAUAUAGAAAGGAUCGCGAUGAGGCUAUAAAUAAUACGCGAUUGUGGAGAAAAAUCGCGUAAAAUGGGUGUUGUCUGUACUUUUCUCUCUCUCUCUCUCUCUCUCUCGCGUCUCUCUUGUGUGGAUAUGUUGGAACGCGCGCGCGGUUUUGUACGCGAAGCAUAAUGUAUAUAGCGUGCUAUAUACAUAUGUAGCGAAGUAAAAAGUAUGAGAGGGGCUCUUUUUCGUAUUGGAUUCCCGUGUGUUGUAUGUGGCUGUGAGUAAAGCGACUUUGCUCUUGGUUUUAGUUGCAUGUGAGGCUUCGUUGGAAGUGGAUUGAUUUUUCACAAAGCUCCCAUUUUCUUGUCUUCUCAUUCAUGGGAAUGUCUUUGCGGUGCUUUUUUUUCUUUCAAUGUUGGACUCUUUCAUUUGGUGACACACAAGGUGAAGAAAGAGUGGUUUAAUGUGCAAAAAAAAUCCUAAUAAAACUCCGGGUUUUAAUUUAAAAACAUUCGCACUCAAGCGAGCCAUAAACUUAUACACCGCAUAUUUUGCGCAAUGACUCAAUGUGCUGGAUUUAAUUAUUUUUCAACUUGAAACAUUUUGUUUUUUAAAAGAGAAUAUUAAAAUCUCUGUGGAAAUGUGCCUUUUUCUCGUGUGCCUUCUUUUGCCUAAAUGGUAAAUUGCUGUGUGGAAGACGUGUAAUGUAAAAGAGUUUAAAGUAGACAAUUUUCGCGAGACCAACAGUGUGAUGUUGAUUUAAAUUAAGAGAACCUCUGUGGAUUUUUUUGCAAAGAAAAAAGAGAAGAUGAAUCAUCGAAUUACAUAGUUGUGUGUCUUAUUGAAUGUGAUGUUUCUACAUGCGGCAGAUGAAGAUAUGCUGCCCUGAAGAGACUUCCACAGUAACUGCAGCACAUCAUAAGGAACGGAGUGAUGUUGUGUUAAAAAUAAUUUCCAAAAGGAAUUUCCUUUAAAUUAUUCUUCACAGCGUGUUCCCUCUUGAAGAUUAAUCCUCACUAAGCGUGUGUGUUUGUGUGGAUGUUUAUCCAGAGGCAUUUCCCAAAAACGAAUUUAGAUUUUGAGAAAAGUCCCAACUUGACGAACAUUCUCUUCUUUUCAUCUUUGAAAAUAUAUGUGCGGAAACUUUGUCAGGAAGAAGUGAAUGUUACAAACAAAAUUGUGGUGUUCAAUGAAAAUUUAUUUUUAACCAUCUCACAACGCUUUUCUCAAGCUCUUGAUUUGAUUUUCUUCUCAAAAGUGAAAAGAUCGAAUGAUUAACAAAGUGUGAUACCUCUUUGACAAUUUAUCAAUUUCUUUAAACGAUCCGUCCAAGAUUUACAAAGGAAAAAGUUUUCUUUCCUUCUUCAAAAGAAGACCUAAAAGGUACGAAAAGAAAAAAAAACUUUAAAACGAAACAAUCAAGAAGAACCUUUUCUCACGUGCCGUGGCAAUUAAAUGCAAUUUUAUUGCGGAUAGUUUUUUGAGUGUUUUAUCACGUUUUUUUGCCUUAAUCGCGCGAGAGGAGAUUUUUAGUUGAAAGAAAAUUACUUUAAGUGUUUUCGGUAGAUAUCACCCCGUAAGCUGUGCAAAAGUAUACGAAUCAUCAUUAUUUUCACAUUGAUACAACACCACUUCUUUAACAACAAAGUAAAGAAAUUGGAAAUUUUAUUUCACUCAUCAUCCUUCCGUGGAAGCCAGUAGUUUUUUUAACCUUUUACGAGGUAAGAGAAGUUCAAACUAAACAAUGAUAUUUUUGCCAUUUCUUCUUUUUCCAUUUUAAAUGAUAAAUCACAACAAAAAGCAAUUUAUUGUUGGUAAUUGAUUCAUUGGUUGUAUAUCCCAAAUUGGCCCCUAGAGACACUUUAACGGGGAAAAGCGAGAAAAUUAUUAUGUGGCUUUUAGAGUGAGAGAAAUGGGUUUUUGACCAAAUUUAGUUGGUUGUUUUCCAAAAGAAAAAAAAAUCUCUUAAGCUGUUUUGCUGUUCACAAUAGAUGGCAAAAAUGGAGAUAUAUAAUAAUUUAAGAUGAAUGAUUGGUGAAUGUGAGAAGGAAUGGGAUUUUAUGGUGUGUCGCGCAAAGUUCAUGGUGGAAAAAGCAAAAAUAGCAAAAGAGCGCGAGAGAGAGAGGCAAACACAAUAGUUAUGAUAAAUUAUCAAUCGACAAAUCUACCCUAAUAAGGCAAUAAGCAAUUAUAUGGAAGAAAAAGAAUCGAGACAUCGGCGAUGGGAGCGAAAAGAUAGAAAAGUAGUGGAAAAGAUGGAGUAAAUUGUUUAUGCGGAACUCAAGAAGUUCUUGCUCACUGUACGUAAUUGGUAUCAAAAAGGGGAAACAUGUGGUUUGGGUACUUGGAUGCAACAAUAUAAUAUCAUAUAUUGGAGUUGCAUAAGAUAGGUGGAAUCUCUCUUAGUUGAUCUCCAACCGUUGUUGGGUGUUUUUAAAGCUCUAGAAGCAAGCUUGUUGCAAUUUAUUCACUUAUACGUUCCACUUCAAAUGAAUUGACGUUGGAUGUCAAUUGGAAAGGCAUAGCUCUACCUAGAUAUUUCUCCACUGAUAAAUUCCAUGAUAGACUUGGACGUGGUCGGUCUAGAGGGAAAAUUAUUCGUUGUUGUACAGAGAGUGAUGAAAAUACUUCUUGAUGGAGGGUAAAAUUAAGUCAGGUUUAGUCCAUUUCUUAGGCUAGGUCUAGUUGUUCUGAAAACUUUACAUUUUAAGCCUGAACUCAAGUUUUUUAGGGUUAGGCUUUUAAGGUUUAAAAGUAAGAAUUUAAGAAGGUCCUAAUUCUUCUUAUUCUAACCUUAAAAAAUUAAGUUCUGCCUAAAAAACUUAAGACUGGUUCAGAGAACUUCGGCCUAAUACAAAAAAUUAAAGAUAGUUUCUGGAAAACUUAAGUCUAAUAUAUUUUUUUUUAGAUCUGACUUAAUAAAUUUAAUAGCUAGCUUAAAAAACUAAGCCUAACUUUAAAAAUUCAGGCCUAGCUUACAAAACUAAGCCUAACUUUAAAAACUCUGGCCUAGGUUAAAAACUGAAGCUUGGUUUAAAAAAACUUACGUUCAGUAUAAAAAUCUUAGGUCUAACUUAAUAAAUCUUAGACCUAACUUUAAAAAAAAUUAAGCCUAACUUUAAAAACUCUGACCUAGGUUAAAAAACUAAAACCUGAUUUAAGAAAACUUACGCCUGACCUAAUGUGCCUAGGCCGGACUAAAAAAUAUAUAUUUCCGAAUUUUUCAAAUAUAGUUUUUGAUUAUUAAAUUGGUUAAAAUAAUCCAUUUUUUAAUAUCCAAAAAAAUCAAUAAAAAUUUUUUAGCUCCUCAUCGUUUUUCUUUUAUUUCAAGAAUUUUCCAUUUGAAAGUUUUCUGAAUUCCAACAAACCCUUAAGUUUCCAUUGAAGAAUACCAAAGUUUCUUAGCUUGUCGUUGCAUGGAAAAAUGAAGACUUCAUGUCAAAGGAGGGCAGAUGCUGAACUCGGUCUUUUUAAUUAUUUUUUUUCUUCUUUCUACACACCACAAGAGAGAAUUAUUUAAUACUUCUUACAAUGUUGCAAAAAAAAAAAGCACGAGCGAAUUUCUUUGUAUUGCCAUCAUGUGGUUCUACUUUUCUUCUUGGAGGUUUUUUGCAGUGAAGGAAAGAAAAUAAAAGAAAUCAACAAAACCAGAAUGUAUUGGUUAUAAGAAUUGAGGGGACAGAGUUGGUAUUUUGCUGUGGCAUUCGAAACGUGGGACUUGUUGCAAUUGCUUGGGACUUCUUAGGCUUUCUUCUUAUGGUUCUAUUCAAUAAAUUUUCAUCUCUCUUGCACUCAAGUUGGGAUGAAGAGAGUGUUGUGGCUUUGUGAUUUAAUUUAUAUGCUCCAUCAAGAAACAUUGAGAAUAAUUCACAUGGCACCGCAUAGAAUUCAAAAUUGCUCCAUUGAGGAUGUGUUGAAGUGUGUGCAAGAUUGGAUCGUCGAAUGAUGGAGAAAUGGUCGUCAAAAACAUUUCUCUUGUGCCAUCUUUUGCUUGAUGAUCUUAAUUUUUCCCGCAUAUGCAAUUGAAGCUAAUCGUUGCGUGAAUUGUGUGAGUGAUCUCUGGAAAAUAUCUCUAAAUCUGUCGUCGAGUUGAUCUUGAGAGUACGCGCGGUUUGGUACGCUGAGUUCAGUCAGCACAAGAGAGGCGAUCUGACGUACAUGCCGGGCUUUUUGUGUGGUGUGUGUCCCAUGGGUGGAGAUAAUGAAUGAUCUCAGCGGGUGAUGACAAUGACCUGAAUAGAAAAAAAAGAGCGCGUCACAAUUUACAAAACAUUUACGAUGAGCCAAAUGAAUUAUUUCAUUUGCUAAAAUAGAGACAUUCAUCUCUCCUACCAACUCGUUGAUGGACUUCCUUCUCGAGAGAAUAAUUUUGAAGAAUUGCAUAAAAUUGCUUUUCAACAACAUUCUUUUAUAUUGUUUUUUAUUCAACUCAAUUGGAAGAAUAAUAAUACCUGUCUGUGAAAGAAAUUCUCUCUCAUAAAUUCUUCCUGGAAUUAUGCAGAAGUUCCCCUUGAUAUAUGGCUUUCUUUUUCUGUAUGUUUUCUCUAUGGUAAUUGUCUGUGCGUUCUUCCGCGGAUGCGUUAUUCUUUCUUGUACGUACAACGAUUGAUAAAUUCUGAUAUGUCUCUGUGGUUGAAAAAAAAACCCGAGCUUGAUGGGGGGUUAGGUGAACCAUGACCAAGCACCAAUUUUGCUCUGGCAAAGGACAGCCGGAUGGGUAUGGAAAGGAGGGCAAAAAAAGAACCAACAAGCGGUGUGUAACCUGCAAAAUGGCCAGGUGCAUUAGGUGAGGCAAUGGCGCACGCGCUGGGUUGAAAAAGAAAACGUAAAGUCCUUGGGCAAUGAACCAAGCUGUGCGAUCUUUUAAAAAUUGGCUUAGAUAUGUGGCUGUGAACGCGGGAAAAAGACAAUAAAUGUCGAGUUUGUCUGGGGGGAUUUUUUAUGAGAAGGAGUUUAUACAUUUUGUCGUUUGGUUUUGAGAGAAACGUAGCAAAUAUCUAGAAUUAUAAAAAAGAUCGUAAAAUGUUUAAAAAGAGCUUAAUAGACUUUUUAUCAUGCCUUGAGGAUAGAUGAGACAGUAUGUUAAAAGAUUUGAAUUAAAAUUCACAAGACACGCCCCUAUUGCAACUAGUUUUGUGUUCUAUGCUCAAUGCAUAUGCUUCAGCGCCCUAUUGGUCAUUUUUUUUUUAAAUAUUUGAGUACAAAAUUAAGGCUGUCUAAAGAUCGAUAGAAGAUGAAUAGAAAAUUAAAAGAAAUUGUAAAAUGAAUCAGAGAAGCAUAUGCUUUACGAUUUACGCUUUAUGCAUUUCUAGACAUAUAUUUUGCAAGAUUUUCAGUUGAUCCCAAAUUGUUAGUUCUGUUUGAAUAUUUUACGAUUUACUGCAACCUUUUCCGCAUCUGGCUUGAAACUUUCAAAUAAAGGCAAUGAAAGUCUUAAAAAUGCAUAAACCCCUUUGAAUACCCUACAAAGGUUAAUGCCCCUAAUUCCAAUCUUCUGCUGCACAAAUAUUAAAUGCGAAUUUGCAAAGAACGUCUAUUAAGUGAUUUCUUUUUGAGUAGUGGUCUCGCCUCGAGUGCACCAAGUUUUCUGCUUCUUUUGCCAAUCUUUCUUUUUGGCCAAAAAGGUAAACCUGAAUUUGAGUCAUUUUGCCCUUCGUUGUCCUUCAUUCCUUUUCGUCUUUUGUCUUAAAACCUUCUGUUCCAGUCUGGAAGAUUGUGUGUAUGUGUUUAGGAGGAAACUUUGAAGUGGAUCACAUGAGCAAACACCAAACUGGUUCUCUUCCACUUGCAUUUUGGCUCCUUUCUUGAGUGUCUUGAGAGAAAAUCAGACACUAUCUUUCGUUGGCAAAGACGUACAUAUUGGGGAAGGUGAGAUGGAAACCCAAAAUGGCCAAGAGGUGAAACUUGGCAGAAGAUUCCACCAAUUUCAUUGAAAGAGAAAAAUAUCCGCGAUGUACUUUGCGUAUAAUACCUACACACAAAAAAGUGAGCCAACGAGCAAUUUAUUCAACAUGCUUUUUCUGCCACCUUUCGCAAAAUUUUUCAUCAACAGCUGCUUCGUCAAAGAGAUGGCGGAUUUUUUUUCUUAUUUUCUCUCUCACUUUAACAGCGUCCACCGCCAAAUUUCUGCUGCUGUGCGUGGAAAAUGACAAAAAUAACCAUUAAAAAGAAGUCUUAUAAACUUCCUUCUGCGUGUGUCGUGUCGGUUUAACACGAUCAAGACUCUUUUUUUCGCGAUCUUUUGUCCGCGAAGAUCAUCAAUUAAUUUUGGUGGGAGCUUUUUUUUUUGCACCGCGUGCAGAUCUUCCAAUGAUGAGCUUUUACCUGCGAAGUAAAAAAAGAGUCAUUUAUCAUCUUUCAGCCAUGUUCGGGGUGUAUUAUUUCCAAAUUAUUUUAUUUUCGCUCCGUGGACUUUUCAUGUGUCUUCCUACAUUGUUUUCGCGUGAUUUUUUUGUUGCUUAUUUGGUCUCUUUCAGUCUGCCGUGCCGCACGAUUGUACGAUUUUUGGGUGAGACAGUUUGUUCCAUAAGAAGGAGCUCUUAUGUUUUUAUUUUAUAUUUAUUCUUUAAGAGAUUCUUUUUAUUCAUUAUGGGUUUAAAAAAGAUACUUAAAGACUUAAAAAAUAAUUUUAAAAACUUUUUGAAAAAUCUGUGCAAGUUUCUCCAAAAAGCAGAACGUCGCUGGAAUGCAAAAGAGCGACUUUUUGGUUUUUUUCAAAGCUUUCAAAUUUUUCUUUUUGAAUCUUCUUGCAUUUAGCUGUGAAAGAGACUGCAAAUUAUAAAUAAAAUCUUACGUAUUAGAGAGGAGGGGGCUAUAUAAUUGCUACAUAAACGCAAAACUCUCACGAAUCGCCGAAAUCUCUGUGAGUGAACAUCUUAAAGAGAUCUAUAUGUAGUGUUUAAUAUUUUCUUGCAUGACCUUGCGUUUCGGUACUUCUCUUUUUUUCCCCUUAAUGUUAAAAGCUUUAUACCUGCCAACAAUUCAACGAUGAGAGAUUUUGCGUAAUUUUUUUAAAUUUGGGAUCUCCGCUUUAUUCUUUUCGUGCUUCUUUUUUGCUGCUAAAGUCCAAUCUUCUACACCAUCUUGCGAUUGAAGAGAUGCUAUAUCAAAAAAUCCCAUGUGGUGCCAGAGAAGACGAGAAAAAAAAGUAAUAUUUGUAAGGAGGAGGAAGAAAAAAAGAGGAGAUAAUUGAGAGUCGAAGCCAGUAGUCAAUCAACAUUACUCAGAAAUGGACAAAGUAGUGCACAAUUUGCAUAUUUCAUCGAUCAAUUGAGUGUCUCGUGUUACGCAUAUUAAGUAGAGCUUUGGCAGAAGUUGAAGAUCAUGGGAGAAUUGGAAGAAGAAAGCGCACGGAAAGGCAACAAGAGAAAAAAAAAUUGCGAGUUCUCGAUCACAAUGCGGAGGACAAUUACAUAAUGAAAUUAUAUUGCAUACGAUCCGCUCAAUCAUCGCGCAGAGAAUCAAUGAGAAUUUUAUGCAUGAUUUGGGUUGAAUGAUGUUUGUGGGUCUUUCACCUGCUCUGGUGGCAGCUUUCGUCUUUCGCGCUGCGCGCCAGAUGAUUGUGGCUCCGAAAAGGCCACAAAACGUACCUUCUUAUGUGCAUUGAGGCAGAGAUAAAUUGCAGCAAAUUGACUGCUAUAUGGAUCCAACAUAGAGUUGCAAUGAAGAGAAGUUUUUCAAUUCAAUUUGGUUUGAACUCCUGAUCACGCGCUAUAUGUAGUUUGAAGAAAAGCACAGAAUUUGCGUAUCUGUAUAAAUUUGAUUGAAAUCAACAUACACGGAAAUGCAAGAGAGAAGGUUAUGGAGAUCAUGAAAAUAAAUUGAACGACUCCAUGAAGCUACCACAACCGUGUGCUUUUUAGAAUAAAUCCGUAUGUACCGCCAAUUGGGAAACUUCACAUAUAAUAUGGGUCUCUGGUAUAUUCAAAUGCCAAAGAAAUGGUGAAAAAGCUUCAAGAUGGAGUGAGAUGAAUUUUAGAUUGCAAGUAAUCACGAAAUUUUCUUCACAACAAACGGCAAUUAGGCUGUUCAAAAAGUUUCCUGUUCAAUGAUGUCCGUUUGAAGCCAAUACAGGCUUGUUGUGGAAUUCUUAGUUAUUGUCAUAAUCCGAUUAAAGCAGAUAAAAAGCCUAAAGUUAGGAACAAACGUAAGAAUACAGUUUGGCUUGAAUUUCUAGGCGUUUUUUCGUAGGCACCUAGAAUUAGAGUUUUUUGGACUUAGAGUUUGAUGGCACUAUAAUAAACUCUGGCCUGUCUCAUUUUAAGGCUUUGCGUUCUCGGAAUAAAAGGCCUGAUUUGGAAUCAGGCGCUAAGUCCCAAAAUCGUUAACUUUGUUAAUUGGUUAGUUAUCCAGUUUAGCUCAAAUUGGAAAACUGCUCUAAUCAAAAAUAGGAAGACAAAAAGAACCAUUGAAAGUGUCAAUUAGGACUAGAAAACUCAGAGUUUUCCAUAAUUUUCCUUGAAAUAUUUAUACUUAAAGUAUCUUCUAAACUUAAUUAAUGUCGUCUAACAUUCUUAAAGAACAUUGCAAAGAAUAUUCAAUAAUUCUUCAUCAAAUAUUUUGAUCAAUUUUACUGAGAAAAUCAAUUUGAAGACUUUUUGAACAGACCUAACAAUGAAAACCAAGAACUUCUUGAGAAAUCACCGUCUGUAUUUUCCUCGUCGUCGGUUCAUUUGAAUAUACGACAAAACCGAAUGAGUGAAAAGUGAAUAAAAUUCACCUGAAAUGGUAAAAAUUGCUUCUAUGCAAAAAGCUCAGUGGAGUCUUCGUUAGUGGACACAGCAUGAACAUUGUUGCCUCUGUGGUUGGAAGAGAGACCUCUUGCAUGUCAGCUGAUUUUACAAUUGGAUUUUCUGUCGCACCAAAUGACGCAAUUACACAACAUUUCUGUAUUAUAAUGAUUCGUGAAGUGGAUUUUCCUUUUUGAGUGUCAUCAACAAUAUCAAACAUAAUACAAAAGACUCUUGAGAGAGGUUUUUUAUUCAACUCUAUAAAGACAAAACCCCAAUCUUAUGGACGAGAUUUAACGAUUUAUGUACUCUUUGGUGAGGUAAAAAUGAGGUGAAGAAGAUGGUGAAAGAGUGUUGUGUGUGAGGAAGGAGUGGGUUUCUUUCAAUUAUUUUUCCCUCCUUCGGUUAGGUUAACACUCUUUCACAACAAAAACCCUCCUUUAAUCGAUUCUUUCAAUGUUUUGCUACAUCUUAGUGCUAAAGCUUUUUUUUUUCUCUCCAUCUUUCUUUCCUCCCUAUUUUAUGCUACUUAAAGUAAAAUGCAGAAAGAAGGAGGAAAACCCACACAAAAUACACUCUUCAACCUCAUUUUAAAUGAUUUUCUGAUUUUACCGCUCUUGCGUACAAGUCUCAAUGACUUCGUUUCGGCGGGGGUAAUUAGAAGUUUUGUGAAUGAAGAGGAAGUUUCUUCAGAAAGAAGUAGAAGAAAAAAAACUUAAGUGGUGCAACUUUUCCUCUCUUAAUUUCUAAUGACGAAGAAAGAGUCAAUUAGGAAAAAUAGUGCGGUGUGUGUACAUAAAAUGAGAGCGGUUUUUUUUUCGCUUAAAAGUUUCAAAACUUCGCGUAAACAACGUACAAUUAAACAAGUAAAUUUGUUUGCAACGAAAAACCAAUUAACCUUGAUUAAAAAGGAAGGAACUCUGACUUGGCAUUUUCUAAUUCAUUCCGGGCGCGACUGUAUGAGCAAGUGAUUGGUAUCACAAUGUUUAGGAAAAGGUGGUUUCUGCUAUAUAUUAAGAGAACUGUCUUAGCUAUGGUGUGGCUCUCAAAUUGCACAGAUAUAUUGGUUCAAAAAGGGCGUUAAUGUUUUGCACUGAAAAAUUAACUAAUGCGAUAAUUAAGUAUGGAAAGCAAAAAUAAGGAGGGAGUUUUGGAAUUUUGAAAUGUUGCCUUUUCCUUCCUCUUUUAUCUCUCUGUAUGCCUCCUCUGUCUGUUUUAGUUACUCUCACUCCAAUUUUAUCACAUUAAAAUGUCUUUUCCAUGUCUUUUUUGGUGGCAAAGAAGGGAAGAGUGGUGACUGUCGGGGCAAUAUGCAAUGAGGUCAAGAGAUAAAGCUUAAGAGGUUCUCCAACAACUCAAUUUCUUACAAUUUUAUAUACUUGACUCUAUAAAUACUUGGAAGCUUUUUGGCUUUGAAAACAACUCCAAAGAAGAAAAAAGUUGUUGAGGUUGAUGGAGAAGGAAACCUGAGGUAAUUGAUUCUUUUGUUAUUCAGUGGAUAGUCUUCGUAAAAAGGAAACCUCAUUAAUUGAUUGCUUAUCCAAGCUUGGGUACCAUGGUGGAGGUGUUAAGUGCCCGUUGGGUCUCGCGGUGACCUUUCAAGCAGGCACAGUGUGAUUGAGGAAAAGUUGUACACUUUAGGCCUCAACUAAUCAGUUUUAUUUACGUUCCUUGUGUCCCCCUGUUGUAAUUGGACUGAAUGACGCCAUUCAAUUUGUUAUGCGCCCCAGAGUUGAAAUGCUAGCCGAGAAGGCUAAUAGAUUAAUUUAGGAAUUUGAAUUUUUAACAGUUUUUAUUAAAAUCAAGGGGUACAAAUUGUUAUUCAAGCUACGGGGAUUUUGAAAUAGUUAGUUUUAUUAAAUUUCCGAAGAAUUUCUAGCGAUUUAUGUUCAACCCUGGCAGUUUGUUACGAUUAAUUAACCCCGAGAAGAAUUUUAAAAUCUUUUAUUAUAUCAUCGAAAGUUUUAUAGAGUAGAUUUAAGAACUGCAAUAAAAUUCAUUCUUCAUGAAACUCAAUGUUAUAAAAUAACGAUUAUGUAUUGCUUAACCCCGAUAAUUUUCUAGCAGUUAAUUUAAGUUCCGAGAAGUUUUACUCUUCAUUAAUUCUUUGAUGGCUUCAAUUUAUCAUUCAGAACUUUCAAAGGGAAUAAAUUUAAAGUUUAAGAUUUUUCUAGCAGUUAAGUUUAACCUAGAAAAGUUUUGAAAUCAGAUUUACUGCAAUAAAAUAUGAUAAAAUUAAAUCAAACCAUCAUAACAAUUCUAAAGAAUCACAGCUAAUAGCUUUAGUUUUAUGCUCUGAACUUAUGGCAAUUUUCAAGCGUUUUAACCUUUAGAAUUUUCUAGUAGUUUUUUUCUAAGCAUAAUGGGCUUUCUAGCAGUUUUUCUUAAAAUUUUAAUUAAAUUUUUGUUUAAUGAUAACAAUUUUAAAAUGAAUGGAAAUUAAUCUGCAAGAAAAUUCUAGCACUUUAUGUUUGAUUUUAAAGCUUUUCCUAAAGCUCUAACCCCGUAAAAUAUUUAAUCUUCAUCUUUAACGUAAGUUAAUUAGUACAAAGGUCACACUCGGUGGUUCCCAAAAAUUAUCAUUUAAACCAUGUGGUGCAACAUUUCCCUCACCAAAAUUAUGUAAACAAAAAUACAAACCAUUUGGUCAAAGCUUAUCUACAUAUUUUGUGUCCCAGAUUAGACUAUUAUCUUAUCUGGAAAAACAUUGUGGUUUGUUUUUAAUGCAACUCUGGUUGGUCAAUGGUGCGACUAUAUGUAUGUAGUAUCUGAAGAGUGUCGAUUAGACAGAAAAGCUUUUGAAGGGACGGAGGGAGUGUGAAUGGAUUGAGAGUCGGAUGUGGAGUGUCGGUCGAUCAAGUUUAAUGAACUUUAUUGUGUAAAUUGUGUGCGGUUAAAUGGAAAAACGACGAAAAGUGUGCUAGAAAUGUUAACUCAACUUCUUUUAUUUUUCUUCUCAACAACUCGUCAAGUUUUACAGUCAGUGGCUAUUUUCACACAAGGUUCGUUCCUUUUUUAUUUUUGCUUUAACCGCCAACAAACCUUCAGUACACGAUGAGGCCAAAAAUGAUGGCAUGGAAUCGAUGAGCGGACGUGAAAUUUUCACGCAGAGAUUUUAUACAAAAUGAAGAGAAAAAAAGUUCAUGAGAAGAAAUUAAUUUGGGAUGUUCUAUUGCGGGAGAGAUGGUGGAUUAAGAGCAAAAAAAAAAUAACAGAAGAAUUCCACGUAUCAAAUAGACAAAUUUGCCGGUGCUGAAGGUACCACAUCAAGGGGAAGAGGAGUGAACCUUUCUGAAGAAUCGUGAGAUGUUGAGGCGGGAAGUUUGAAAGAAGUUCCAAUGAAGAAUGCUCGGUGUGCAAUUAAAGCAAAACGAAAAUGAGGAGAGAUGCGCAGAGACUUGGUGGUGAAAUGGUGAAAAAUGAGGCAAUGAAUUUAUACAAUUUGGCCUGUUCAAAAUUGAUUUCUUCAUUGCCAAAGAGUGUUCUCAAUUUGGUGAGAAAGAUUCUUUUUUUUUUUUUGCUUUCGAGGUCGCCUCACCUUUUGUGCGGCACGACAUACACGUGUAUUGCCUACAAUUGCUCUCACCUCAUGUAGAUGAUGAUUGUUAUCGCAGCUCCGGAGAAUUUCAAUUGCUCCAGAAUUCUUCUCUUCAUUAAUUGCGAGAUUACUUUUUUCCAUGGUGUGUAUUUUUUUACAUUCAUUUUAACUGCUUUCUUGGUUGUUUAUUGCGUUAGAUGUUGGGCGGAGAGAAAAUUAGGUGUUUUACCUUUACGCAGCGUGGUCUUUCACCUCUGACGAUGACGUCUUCUUUCUCUCCCUGGAUGGGAAAUUCUGAAAUUUCUCUUUUUAUCGUGCACUGAAUGACUAAUCAGAAAAAUUCUGCUUCGGCGGGUUUUUUUUUAUUUCCUCGCCAAGUAAUCUUGAAACGCCCCAACAGAAGCAUCGAGUUGAUUGAAAAUCAAUGAAAGUACAAGCUAAAUUCACCUUCUCUUGUUUACCAUGUGUUCAUUCUUUUUUUAUUUCCCCCGUGAUUAAUUAUAUCAAAUAACCUCCGGGAAAUACUAAAGGGUCGUCUCUACAACGUAGUCUUAUUUUUUUUCUACAUUAUUCAGCAUGUCCUCAAAUCUCCAUUCGUAUUUGGUGGCAUAAAAGAGAUUUGUUUGUGAAAAGGAAAAGAAAAUAGUACGGCGUGAAUGUGAAAACAGACAACCAGAAAAGGAAAUUCCUCUAUUACAAGAAUAUUUAGUGAUGCAUUAAAGUGAUGAAGUUUUUUCUUUGGUUGUCAAUCAUUAGAAGAGACAUUUUCACUCAAUAUGUGGAAUAGGGUGUGGCAAUUGAAAUGCAAUUUAAUUAAUUUAAUUAAAUAAAAUGCUUCUCUUUUACUUUCUGGUGUGCAUUGAAUUAGUUGGUAUUUUAAUGAUUUUAAUUGAUAAAAGUUAGUCUGAUAAAUUGCACGAUAGGAGGCACUUUAUAGAUGAUUUUUGUGAAAUCAAUCUUGAUGUGGUAUUUAGGUUUAAGGCGGAGAAGCUCUAGCUUUGGCUUUGUACUUCAAUCUCUUCUCAAAUAUUUCAAAUUAUCGAUAAACUGCCAAGAGAAAAUAAUAAUAAGGGAACUCACUUUAAAAGCGUAAGUUAAGAGACUUUGUAAGUUUUUAGCUGAUUAUUUUCUUUACGGUUUUGCUAAAUCUGUUAUUAUAGGAGUCGUACUAACGAAUGUAGGAUCCUUAGACAAUUUUUUAUGGGUUUUGUAAAGAAUUUUACACUACAUUCUCGCAUGAAGUAAAAUCGUUAAGAAAACAUAAUCUGUUUACGCUUAUCAGGUUUAGGUUCAGUAACCACUUAGGCAUUCUUUCAGCCUGUAUCCUAUUAAAAUGGUCUAGUUAGCGUAUUCUUGACAUUCGGAAUAGGGAUAUUAUAAGCGGUUUCCUCUAAAUGUCUUUCAACUCACUUACCAACGUUGAUCUGUUUACGUUUAGUCGUUUAGUCUCUAUAUGUUUACGCCUUCUCUUACAUUUCUAAGUGAGUUCCCGAGAUGAUUUUCAAAAGAUUAUUGAUAUGAAUUAGAAAUUUAAAUUUGUGAGAUUGCAUUCUCAUUGCCACACCCUGUGUCUAUUCACAUUUAGAUAGAUACGUAUAUUGAAAGAAAAGCAAUGCAGACUUCUCUAUAUAUAAUAACAAUAUUAGCAUAAUUAGAAAAUGUUGAUUAUGGAGAAAUAUCGCAUCAUUGAUGUGUUUCCAUGUUGCAUCUGAAAAAAUAAAUCUCAUAUUUUUCCCCCUUUUUGCAAUGUAUCGGCGGAUCAUCUUGUUGUGUGUAGUUAAAUUAAAUUGAGAUUUUAUCAAGGUUUAUACGCGCGUAAAGCCAAAGUUGGUAACUUCUCAUAGGGAAGGUAAAAAAAAGGAAUGUGUGUGGCAAGACUGUUAUUUGUAAAGUUAUUUGUUGGGUCUCUCUACGUCUGAAAGAUGCAAUAUUCGUACAAAAUGAUAGGUGAGUGAUUGUUGGUGGUUUGAAUUGUGGAAGAUUGAAGAUUGAACAUUGAUAAGGAAGACCUCUCUCCAUUGGCGGCAUACACAAGAAAGAUCUUUAAAAAAAACUUUUGCCCACCGACAGACCCACAUUCAAUGGGAAAAAUAAAAGAAGGUAUAAGAAGAAAAUUGAUAUUGCUUCUUGUUUUUUCUCUUGAAUCUGUGUGUCGCUAACGGGGUUUUAUGUAUUAAGACACGAAAAAAAAAUACGAAGAAUUAUUCGUGGAAGAUUAAAGGGAAUUUACCCGAAAAAGUUUAGAGAGAUGGCAGAUUGGGGACAUUUUGAAACCAAUUAGGGUUCAUCAUCUCACAAAAUGUGAAAAAGGUUGCAAACAACGCGACACCGUAUCGCGACUACAUCGAAUGUGAAUGCAAGAGGGAAAUCAAUUUCCAUUGUUCAAAAUUUACCCAACAAUCACCAAUAAAAUGUGGUGGGAAGGAUGGCAUCGAUGGAAAUUGGCCAGUUGUAUAUUCUUUUCAAUAGUUCACGUGCACUUUCCCAUCGGAAUAAUCUACACCAUCUGGAUCUCAUAGUUGACUCUCACAAAUCCUCUCUCUCUCUCGCAUCUUCUCUAAUGUUUACCCAUCAUACUAUGUAUAUGGAUAUCAAUGGUGUUUAUCUUGCACUUCCAAAAAUGCUCAUAACUGCAUUUUUUCUUCCAUGUCUUGUCUUGUGAUAAAUAUUUAAUGUUCCACUUCUACAUGUCUCUGAUUACCCUGAAAGAAAAAAAUAAAAAAAACUCACAGUGUAUGUCUGUCGCUAUGAAUUUGGAGUUCAUUUAUGGUUGGUUACCGCGAGGGCUGCUAGACUAAACUAUAUAUAGUGAGGGUGGAAAGGCAUUAAAAUUAUCCCCUUCCACACAUCAUGAUUUCCUUUCGUAUUGAUUUGUCCAUUUCCCAACACCUUUCUACCACCAAAACACAGGGGUCACGUAGCCUUCCAAAAUACACACAUUAGGCAUUUUGGUUUUGUCAACAUGCUCAUAUUAUUCUUCAACAUGAACAUAAUGCUGUCGUUUGAAUGAACAUAAAUUAUUUUGGAACGAAAAUGUUGCUUAAAAAUUACGCGGUGUUUAUACGGAGUAAUAAUUCAGAUUUAUCAGGACUUUCUGUUGUUUUGUCUUAUAUUUUGACAGUCAGCACUGAGACGGCAGUUGCCGCAAGGGGAAAUAUUCUAAAUGGUUGAAAAGAAUUGAAUUCUUUUGAAUAAUUUUCUGAUAUUUUAAUAGUAAGGAAAAAAAUGGAAAUAAAAAUUUCAAUAAUUCGAUAUUUCUAUAUCUUUUUGAGUCUACUGUUCACCUUCAUCAGGUCUUCAAAAUUUAGGAAAUAAUUUUUCUUUAACAAAAAAUAGCUUUCUUAAAGAUCAAACUCGAAGUAUUCAAGAACAAAAAACUUUUAAUUGGUAAAAAAAAAACUUUUCUCCUGUCAAUUCGAUAUCUUUUUAAAGACUUUUCAUAUCAGUAUUCUACCUUCAUCAGGUCUUUAAAAUUUAGGAAAUUAAUUUUAUUUUACAAAAAAAUAUUUCUAAGAUCAAAGCUCGAAGUUUUCAGGAACAAGAAACUUUCAAUUUCUAAAAGAAAACUUUUUCUCGUGACAAUUUAGUAUUUUUUAAGACUUUCCAAUCAGUUUUUUAUCUUCAUCAGGUCUUUAAAAAAUUGGAAAAUCAUCUUUACUUGGCAACAAGAAAUUCUAUGAUCAAAGGUUCAAAAACAAGAUUAAGAAAAAAUCAAUUCUGAUUCAUAAAAAAAUGUUUUCUUAUUCUUUUCAAGAAAUCUUCACAAAUUUUCAUGAAACUUCCACCAUACCCAGCGAGAGAGCUAUUAUAAUCCAAUAAAUCUUGUGGUGCGGGUUGUAAUGUAUUUUAGGGUGUGUUCAAUUCCUUCAAUAUGAAUAUUAAACCGAAACUUUUACAUGUCCCAAAAAUUUACCUUGCUAAAAAAAAUGUGUAACAGCUGAAGUAAAGUCAGUGGAGCAUGAAAAAUGACUUUUUUAGCGCUCUCUCAGUCUGUGAUAUGCGGUGUUAUUUUUUUUUUAACUACUCUCUACACGAUGGUAAAAUAAAAACUAAUCAUGAUGAGGAAAAAUGAGGGGAGAAUGAAAAAAAUGCGGAAAUUAUUGAAAAAUGUUUUAUGUUGCAAUACUGUGCGUGCUUUUAUUUACAAGAAGGGGCUAUAUGCUGCUGCACACACAAAAAAAGCUCCAUCAGUUUCCGCUCUAGUAUUCCGCUGCUUGUUGAAGAUCUCUUGCAUUGCACAAGAACUAAAUGCUCGUUGGCUGUUUUUUUCUCCUUUUGAUAUAAAUCUCAGUGUAUGGAGAUAAAUUCAGGUCUAUAAUUAAAAAUUGUCUGUUUUAUGUUGAAGAAGUCUUUUUUUUUCGGGUGAUUCGAGGUGUGGUGGCAGGGAAUGAUUAAGAGAAGAAAAAAAAGGAAUAAAGCUGUAAAAGAUUUGUUGGGCUAUAAAAUAGAUUUUUUGCAGUAUUUGUGGAUUUUAAUUUCCCAUAUAUUUCCCAAUAGUGGGCAGUAUGUUGGACCUUCAUGUGUGGAGGCAAUGUGCUGGAAAAUAUUCCCUGGGAAUAGAAUAAAGCAAAAAUAAUUAAGCACAGAAGGAGGUUGUCUUGGGGUAUUGAAUAUAUUGCUUAUUAAAUACUUAUAAUGUAGCGAAUAAAAUGUCAAAAUGUCGAAAUUCAUCAAAAUGCGCGAGAAUAGUGAAUAAUGGUGCUAUAUCAUCUGUGUAAAAUAAUAUUUUUUACAUCAUUCACGGAGCUUUAUAACAUUUUGAUGAUCAGAACGUGAUUCAUGUUUUCAUUAUUAAAGUUUUCAAGUAUUUGCGGCUAUAGCCGCAUUCGUAAUACACCAAAAGAGAGGAAGUCGUGAUUAAAAAAGAACAAAGAAUUACUAUUACUACUUACUAAAAAAAAACAGAGAGUCUCUCGAGUGUGGAGAAAAUGGAGAUUUUGAAGGGGAGUAAGACGUAAAGAAAAAAUUCUUGUAUAAUGAGGUCUCUGUGAGGAAAUAUAAUAAUUUUAAUCAGUCAUUUCGUAUUUUACGAGCAAAUUUGCCUCUUUCUCCAUUACUGUACCAAGAAAUUUCUCAAUUGUGUAAACAAAACAUGCAUUUAACUCGCGGUGUGUGUAGUGAAAGAGAAGUGAUCAAGUGCACUUCCAUGGAAUAUUGUGUGCUUCUUAUUAUAGUCUGUUUUGUAUUGUAUGAGGAAGUUGCACCCUUAAAAAUAAUUUAGCUGGAAACUUAUUUACUUAUUAUUGAAAGAGAUCUUUGAGUUUUUUUUAUACAGAGCGUACUAAAGUAUAUUAUUGAAUGGAAAAUUAAGAGAUUAAAAUCAAUUGAAAAGACUGAAAAAAAGGCAGGAGUUAAUCAAUGACAGAAUCACAGAAUGAAACGGUGAAAAUAAGUAAACUUAAUCAUUCAAGACAAAAGAACUUAAAAUAUAUUGUAAACUUGAGUCAAAUAAAUCAGUGAAAUGAAUUGAAUUUAAAAAAUACUAGCAGAAUCAAUUAGCUAAACAAACAGAAAUAAAACAACAAGAAGAGCAUUUCAUCUAUUGAAUCUACGAAAAAUAAUAUUUCACGAAUUUAAAAGGUUAAAAUUUGGUUAAAAAAAUCUUAUCAAAAAAAGUUCAUUUCACUUAUUCAAUCUACCAAAAAUUCAUUUUGGUAAAUGAUCAAUUAACUUUGAUUAAAAUGACCAAAUCGAAAGAUAUUUAACAUUUGGAGGACAAAACUGGUAAUCGCUGCCAAUUUGACUUUUUUAAAUCACUCGGAUGUACUCUUCACAUUCAUUAUUUUCAAUGCGCGAGAGUAGUUCAACCAAGCCGUCGUUGUACUGGGCUCCCACUGUAAUAGAAAAGUAAGCUCAAAAUUUGAUGUUAGAAAUUCGUAUCUUCCAAGUGUUAACCGAAUGCAAUAAGCGUUUUCAAAUAAAAUUCCACAUUAUUGUUUUUAAGAGUGUAUGAAAGAAAAAGGGAGCAAUGAGAAUAAUAAAAUUUAAAUCAAUUUCUUGGGCUUAAUUUUACAACAUUGUACAUAAUAUGCUAUGAAUAACUGCAUUUUCAUCUCACAGAGGGAUUAAAAGAAAUUAAUUUAAAAAAAAAAAUAUAUGUGGCUGGUAGAAGAAAAUCCCAUUUCUGUGGUUUAUUCUUCCAUCCAACGCAAUGGGUUUGUGUGAUGAUUGAAUGAAGGGAAAGAGUCGUGAACAUGCAUAAACAUUUAAGCAGAAAGACUCUUUUUUUUCCUUCAAUUAAACCCAUAUGAAAGGGAAUGAAUGUAGAGAGAUUUUUUUCUUACAUAUAUCCUGUACAAAUAAACAUAUAUAUCUUUCUUCUAUAUAUACAAAUUGCUACAUUCUUUCACAAUUUCCCCUAUGCACCACGAAUGAUGUCGUUUUGCCUUCACAUGUGGCUAAAUGUCUACCACGUUGGCCAUAUGUCCAACUAUUUUCUCCUCCAUUGACGGUGAUUUGUCAUACAAAACAAUCUGCAUUUUGCUUCUCUGAUUAAAUUAAAAGAAAAUGCAAGAUUUCGGUUUUUUCUUGCUAGAGUUAUCCCAACUAGAUUUUUGAUAGCAUAUCACAUUAAAUGCCAGGGCAUUUCCGCUCAAUGUCAGCGCGCACGAGAAAGUUUCACGCACAGGAAGCAAUAUGCAAAAGUUUAUCAAGAAAAUGAGAGAGUGAAAAUCAGAACGACAUUUUUUGUUUAAUAUACUGAAGAAACCAAGAAAUUUUAUACCAAAAAAUUAUGAUCAUAAAAUGCGAUCACGCAUUUCAAUUUCAUCUUCAUACUGAAUGACUUGAUGGGAAUGCUAAAGAGGCGGAUAUUUCAUGUCAUUUAGUGCGCUUUUAUACACGUGCAUGUGGUUUGGCUUUAAGCGUUGUUAACAAGGAAAGCCGUCCCCUUCCGAAAUGUAAAGAAAAUUCACGUGCGCAUUCACCGAAAACGCAAAAUUUCACUUUAAUCCUUGGGGCUAAAACGAAAGGAAAAAUUCAUCAAUUGAAAAUCCCCCCAAAGUUGUGUGUCCUCCUUUUCCUGACUGAGAAAAAAAAGAACACCAAAAAUAUGCAAGUUACUUUCUACAAGACGAGUGAUUGACGAUGUCGCUUUUAUUGAGACAUAAAAAAGGACGGUUAUUUCGAAAAAUUAACAUAUUAAUGAUCUUUUGGAAAAGUGAAUACAAAAAAAUCCGUGGUUUAUAUGGAUAUUGAAAUAAUUGAGGAACUCACGGUACGUUGCAGACUGUUAAAUGCACAGUGCAACUGGUGCGAGGGAUUGAAAAGUUUCAUAUCUUUUAGGGAAGUUUUCAAUUUUUUAAUUUGAAAAUUUCUUUUAUAAAAAUUUUUGGUUCAUGGAUUUAUGGGUAAAAGAUGACUUUAAAAUGUUUGAACUAAAAAAAAAAACAAUUUGAGCUGAUUUAAUUAAAAUUAGAUCUUUUUUCAAAAUGGCGUCUCAAUUUUAGGUUAUGUCUAAAAUAGGAUUUUGAAAUAAAGUAUUAAAUAAAAGUAUUAGGUUUAAUUCUUUUUUUUUUUUUUUCAAUAAUAGUUCAAUAAAGUUAAAUAUUUCAGUUUUAAUCAUUUUUUCGUUAAAAAUAAAAUUUAUUUUUGAUGUUAUGUUAAUUUUAUGUUAUCCAGAAAUUAUUACAAUUAUAUAAAAAUUAAAAUGUAAUUGGAAUAAAACUUUAAUAAAGGAACCUAAAAAAAGGAGCUAAAAUAGCCUAAUUUAAUAACUUUCAACAAAAACUUAAAUCACAAUUUUUAAUAUAAUUUUCUAAUCGUAUUUUUCGAACCAUAGCUUUGAAACUUUGCAAAAUUUCAUACCUGAAGGAAAGAACAAAGCUCAACGAAUAAAAAAUUAAAUUAAAUUCAAAAUGCAGCAAUUUAUGCUUUCUUUUUCCUUUAAAGGAAAAAACGGCUUUUAAAAUAAUUUUCAAAAAAUUCUUUCACUUUGAAACGUAAUUCCUAAAAUUGAGCAUUCAACAAAGUCGCAAACCUUCAUUUCUUUUAUUCCUUCUUUUUUACCUUUUCCGCUCGAAGGGUUACUCAUUAAGAUUUUAUUGGUAAAUUUAACUACAUGAUUUUCACACUCAACUCUAUAUGGUUAUGUCUUCAAUUUCACUCUAAAUUGGAUAAAUGAAAGUAUUUUUUUUCUUUCUUCAACUCAUAUGGAACUUGAUGUUCUUUCACGAUGGUUUUUUCUUCUUACGCACAUAUCCUGUGAAUGGUUGCAUUUUCUUUGUAUAUUUACAUGUAUUUGCCAGGUAUAAAUUAACUCUUUUCCGUGAUGCAUUUGCACCACGUCAUGCGGUGCAAAAAGGCAGUUGCAGUGCUAAAGGUAAAACAUCUCCCGUGGAGCUUUAUUAAUGGGUGGUCAUGAAAAUUACUGCAAUAUCUUUCCCAAUGUCUCAACAGAGAUGCUAAUUUCUCUCAUCAAAAUCUUCUUGCCAGUCUUCUUGUCUCUAUUGCAAUUUGAGCAAUUUAUUUGAAUAAUUUCAAUUAUUCCACAACGAUAAUUAUCUUCAAUGAGAAAAGCGCAACGUUUCCACCUUCUACGCAGAGUUUUUGAACUCUUUGAUGCUUUUGUGGUUUAUUUUGUAGCAUUGUAGCAAUGUGCAAUGUCGCACUGGUAAUUUAUCCUCAACUCACGGGCAUUUGGCUAAAAUUAUUAGUCGGUGUUGGGGAAAAAUUGUUGGGUAUCAAGGCGGUAAAUGUUGCGAUCUCUUCGCUAAACUCUUCACUAAAAAUACAAUCAGAGGUGUUGUUGAAGAAUUAGAUUUAAGUUUUAUUUGCAACAAUUGCAACAUUGCGCUUUUACCUUCUCUUAUACACAUUUUAUGGUAUUUAUUGCGGCGGAGAAGGUGAAAUUAUCAUUAUUAGUGAAAAUGAGUAUUUUGUCUUGGCGCUGUGUGUGCCUUUUUGCGAAUAGAGAUGCAAUUUAGACGAUAUAUGCAUUUUACUAUUUGAUUAUGCAAAUUGCAAAGCACUCCAGCAUCUCUUGUGAGAAGAAAAGUUUUUUUUUUCAUACGUUAAGAGAAAAUGCAAGUGAUCUUGUCUUUGGAAUUGUUUUCGCGGAACAAUUUGAAGGAGGAAGAAGGUGAGUUUUUUUGUGGUGUGAGUAAAUUGGUAAACAACAUUGAAAAUCAAGAGUAAUUUCCACCGAAAGAGAGGGCUUUUUCACUUAUUGCCGAGAUACUUUUCAAAUGGUGUUUACGCUGGAGGACAAGCGAAAGUUUUCUUGCGAUGGUUGUGGUUUUUUUUCGGUUGUGCGCAAAAUUCUUCACUCAUUAUGUUGUUUUGUCGGAAUAAUCCAGGAAAUGAUCUAUUUUGCAAGGUGGCUCCACUCAUUUUCUUCGUAUUUUAUUACAUUCACUCCAAUUUUCCCAGCAAUUCUCUCAAAUUUCUUACCAAUUUCGUUGAAAUGUCUAAGAGCCGGGUAUUAUUUGUUAUUUAAAAAAUACAGUACGUUCCAUUUGCUUAGCAAGACCAGAAAUUUUAUUAGAGCUCGAUGAAAUGUAAAAGAAGAAGAAGAAUGCGAAGAGCCCUGAUUGGCUCAGAUGAAUCAAAGAAGUGUUCUCAUUGGUUCUUGUUAUUUAUUGUAUCACCGUUCUCGUGGAAUCUCACUGCAAAGUCAAUUUGAAUUAAAAAAUGAAUAAUUUCUUAUUAAAAAAAAAUAAUUCAAUGAAUCUUUCUCGUUAGGCAAGACGAAAGAUUUUAUUAGAGCUCCAUGAAAUGUAAUUGAAGAAGAAGAAGAAUGCGAAGAGCCUUGAUAGGCUCAGAUGAAUCAAAGAAGUGUUCUAAUUGGUUCUUGUCCUUUAUUACGUCACCGUCCUCGUGGAAUCUCACUGCAAAGUCAAUUUGAAUUAAAAAAUGAAUAAUUUCUUAUUAAAAAAAAAUAAUUGAAUGAAUUUUUCUCGUCAGGCAAGACGAGAGAUUUUAUUAGAGCUCCAUGAAAUGUAAUUGAAGAAGAAGAAGAAUGUCGAGAGCUCUGAUUGGCUGAGAAGAAUCAAAGAAGCAUUUUUAUUGGUUCUUGUCCAUUAUUAUGUCAUCGUCCUCGUGGAAUCUCACUGCAAAGUCAAUUUGAAUUAAAAAAUGAAUAAUUUCUUAUUAAAAAAAAAUAAUUCAAUGAAUCUUUCUCGUUAGGCAAGACGAGAGAUUUUAUUAGAGCUCCAUGAAAUGUAAAUGAAGAAGAAGAAUGCGAAGAACUCUGAUUUGCUGAGAAAAUCAAAGAAGCGCUCUCAUUGGUUCUUGUCCUUUAUUACGUCACUAUCCUCGUAGAGUCUCAAUGCAAAGUCAAUUUGAAUAAAAAAUAAAAAAAUGAAUGAUUGCUUAUUAAAAAAAAAUUAAUUCAAUGAAUCUUUUUUUGAUGAAUGAUUCAUCCCUCUCUCCACCUUUCCAUUUAAUCUUUUUUAAAAAUAAUUAUCUUUUACUUUCCAAGCAGAUCAAACGUCAGUUAUAAAACAAUUAAGCUAAUUUGAAUUUAACUAUUGUACGGCAUGCGAUUCAUUAAGUUAAUUGAUUCAAAAAUAAAUUAAAUUUUUAACCUUGUUUUUUUUCAACUUAUUGCAUUUGAUUGUAAAUUUUACACACACUGUAUUUUUUCAUUAAAGUCUUUUUCUCCACUAUCCACCACGAUAUGAAUCGCAAAAUCACAAUUGAAGUCAUGUUUUCUCAACCUGUGACAAUUUUAAUCUUGAUCAAAAGUCACCAACAAGCACACGAAUGAAAAAUUACAUGGAAAUGAUUUGCAUGUGAAAUUUUUUUGCACCUCUCACUCCGCCAAAAAAGGGGGUUUUUAUCUCUCUUUCAUUUGGUUGGGUGGGGUUGGGGGGAAAGUGGGGGAGUAGUCAAUUGAAAGGGAAAACUCUCUAUACAAUUGUGUUGUCACAAAAAUUGGUCAAAUUACAUAAUGAUGGAGGGAAAAAGAGAGCAUAUAGAGAGAAAAAUGACAAAUGGCAGAAAUUUUUCGUGAAUGGAUCGCGUAUAGUUUUGAGUGUCAUGCUAUUUAGUUGGGUGCAGGAAAGUGCUCUGAUUUGGAUCUAAAAUUGCGCCAAGAGGAGAAUAUUUUAUAAUGAAAUGUUGCUGUAUUUUCAGGGGGAGAGAUUUAUAAUUUUUCGAGACUAAAUACGGAAUUUCCCUCAUAAUUCAAAUUUUGGCGCGAGCAACAUUAAAAUGGGAUUUUAGUGCUUAGUUAGAGAAACAGAAAACAUAAGAAAAAAAUAGUUAUGUUGUGCGAGGGAAUAGAUUAUGCGGAUAGAGUGGUAAAUCGUGUUGAUGGGAUUUGUGGUAUUGUACAUUUUCAUUUUCAUUUUAAAAAAAAAAAUGAAAAUUAUAUAUGGUUUGAAACACUUAGGAAGAGACACACAAAAUUGUAGAAUUUCACGUUACAGCAACACCUUUGUUAUUAACAGUAAUUCCAAUGCUUUUUCAUGAUGAUGAUGACGGUGGUUGGGGACCACCGGAAGUAUGUCGCGCUGAAUUACAUGGUGAUUUUGCAAAGUGAAGCGAUGUGCUUUUUUUUUUUCAACUACAAAUUUGUCUUCUGCGUCGCUUCGGGGUGAAGUAAAAGUUGGAAUUUUUGUGGUUAAAAAUUUGUUGAUGGGUGCACCUAAAAAUAACAAUUAUGUAGAUGUGCACGUAUGCUGAGGGCCGGCAUACUUUCAUUUUGCAAACAAUUUCCCCAAGAUUCAUCUUGUUGAUUUUUCUUGCAUCUCUACCUGCUUACUUUUUACUAAAAAAAAAACUCCCAAUCUUUUGAUAUUUUCUUCUUUACAUGAAAAUGGAAAUUUAUUUAACACUUCGUGUGCGCUCUUGUAAACACAUUGGGGCUAUUUUUUGAUUUUGAAGGUAUACGCGAUACUUCCUUUUACAUUAAACAUCCAUUCUGUAUUUCACAAUGAAAGUUACAUGUUUUACAACAUCAAACAAGCAAAGGUAGAGAUCACGAAGAAAAGGGCGUUAAGGUUUUUAUAUUGCAUGUGAGUGUUUUUAAGAUUUCAUAAAUUUUCAUAAAAAUUUAAAGUUUUCGUGAAAAUUUCAAUUAUUGUUUUAGCUUUCGCUAUUUAGAUCGUUUGUUCCAAAGUUUAAUUAAAAGGAUUAUUUCCUUCAAGGUUAGGUAGGCUGUCCCAAGGUUAGACAACUUGUCCCAAAGGUAGAUAAGUUGUCCCAAAGCUCGAUCAACUUUAUCACAAUCAGAUAAUUUUCCUUAUUUUUGUCUAUUUGUCUCAAAAGGAUAUUUAAAUGAGGUAAAAAAUAGAUUAUUCACGUGUCUCAAUAGCGGUUUUGUCUAUGUUUUAUUAUGUGAAUGAAAUAUGCUUUAUGUUGGAAAAACAAUCCUGAGCCUUAAAGAUAGGAUUCUGAGACAAAGAAUUCAACAGUAUUAGUUUAUUUUAUUUUUUUUUUAUUUUCAGAUAUAUUUGUUUAUUAUUUUAAGGGUAAAUUAUUUUAAAAAAAGUUUGAAAAUGGCAUUGUGUGAUCAUCAACAUAUAGUUAAUUUAACUGUCCCAAAAUUUGUUUAAUAAUUGUCCCAAAAUUAUGAUUCAAAGCGUAUUCAUCGAUAACUCUAUAAAUUGAUUCAAACUCUUCUAAAUUCUUUUGCAAUUCAAUUUAAGAUUGGUAGAAUUAAUCAAUUCCAAUUUCACAAUUUUCUUUGAAAAGAAUAUAGAAGAUGCAUUAAAAUUUCCCGGAAAAUUUCAACUUCUUAAAUGAAGAAUAAUAAACAAAUCUUUCUUUUUUUGUGUGAAUACUGCUUGUCUUUCAUGCAAUCGGGGCGCGAAAAUCUCUUUUCACCAUCGUGAUGAAAGUCUUUAUGAACGGCUUUGUUUUUCAAGCAUUUCUUCUUUGGGUGCGCACAUGGUGUAAGGAGUAAAAAUGUAAAUUACACAGAAUAAAUCGUAAAAGUGCGUAACAUGUCAAGUUAUUAAGAUAGUUUUUUUUUUAAUUGUUAGUUUGGUACCUUCUUAUAAAAGCUCUUUCACCUUUUUGUUUGCCUAAAGAAAGACCUUUUUCUCAUUGCAUUUUUAUCUGGUGAGGAAGGAAAAGAAAAAGUAUUUUACGGUGUGGUUACAUUCAAAUAUUGGUCUUUGGCACUUUUUUAUAACGUGAGAGAAAAAACAACACCUCUCAGCAGCAUAAGCAAUGAGACAUGGUGUGUACAUAGCAAUUGUAUUUGAGAUAUCAUGACCUGGAGCACGUGUUUACCUCUGCGAUCAUUCCACAUAGAUCGUGUGUGUGUUUUUCCUGAUUAUGAGGAGAGCUAAAGAGAGUUUGAAUAUAUAUAAAAAAAAGUCCAAUGCAGCAGCAACAAUUCCGCCAAAUUGAGAAUGGAGAGUGAAUUGAAAAUGAAAUGUUUAUCUAUUGAAAAUCACGUACAACAUACAGCAAAGAGGUGGAGAGAAGUCUCAAUGGAAAUCAAUAUAAAGUGUCUAUUGUGUUGGGGAUUUUUAUUCUAACCUUUGUUGCGAUUAGGGGAGGUGCGCGCGGAGUCUAUCACACACACGAUGUAAAAAAAAAUCAUCUCUUUUGUGUUGUGUAAUUUAUCUAUCUAAAGUAUCCUCUCUCAAAUGUGGCGUGUCUGGUGCGAAGUGAAAAGAAUCAAACAAUUGGCAAUUGGUCGACGAAGAAAUGCUUGAAUUUUGUGGGAGAGUCGAGGUGAGAGGUCAUUUAAAUAAUUUACAUUGGACUGUGGGUAAUUGAAGCGUUUUCCUUCACGUCAUUGAUACAGUCACAAGAGCGACGUGAAGGAGGGUUUAGACAAUUUAUUCAUAUACGAUCAUAAUUUAUAAUCCUGUCUGGAUGACACAUCAUUCAAUUUUACUAUUGCAUACAUAUAUAUUAUAUUAUGUUUUAAUGGAGGAAGAAGACUUUCGCAUUUUACACGCAAUCUUCAAACCGUUUUAAUUAAUUUUUUCCACUUGAUUUCUUAUUCGUGCUCUGUGAUAAAAAUCUAUGUAUGAUGCUAAACGUGUACGUAACACUGGAGCUAUAAAAAUUACAUACACGAGGAUUAAUUAAUAUUAUUUAAUUAAAUAAAAUGAUUAAGAGGUACGAAGAAACGGUUUUGCUGAUCUUGCUGAAUAUUCUGAAAAAUAAAUUUUAAAUUUAUUCAAUAAAUUGAAGAAAAAAGGAGGAAAGUCUUCUUUGAUGAUGAAAGUUCUCAAUAGAAUCAAAAACUCUACAAAAUGUUUUUUAUGAUAUAAAAAUUAAAAGAAAAUUAAAUAACAGAGAAUAUUCAUCAAACACGGAAGUACAAAGAGUAGAAAAUAGAAAA